CUCCUGCGUGUGGCACUUCCAGCCUGCCGGAGCUGGGAUGAGGGGAGCAGGGAACUCUGCUCUUAUGAACAGCCGGUAGGUGGGCUGGGGGUGAGGGUCACUCCGGGAGCGCUUCCAGGCGGCGCCGCGGAGGGAUGCGGGCAGGAUCCGUGCCAGGCAUGGCCCGCUCUGCGCACGGCCAGCCCGCCAAGGCCGAGAGGAACGACCCACCCUUCCUAGAAAUGCACCCUGGAGCUUAAAAGAUGCACCCAAUUGAGAAACUCUCUGGAGGUUGUAGCAGCAGGGGAUAAAAGGGAAAGCUGGGCCCAGAUUAAGCUGGAGCUCAGCGAGCCGGGAAGCGCGGCGGCCGUGGCCAGGUUCCUAAGCCAAUUCCCAGCCGUGGUCUCCUGGCUGAAUCCAUGCCAGGGGAGAGGUGUUUUGUUCUGGAUGCAGGAGCUCCAUCCCUCAGCGCCAGCGGCGAGGGCCGGCGGCGGAGCUGGAGCGCUGGAUCCCGCUGAGAGGAUGAAAACAUGGGGCUCAAGUUUUCCUGCCUGAAAGGCUUGAAGAUGUGCGUGAGCAGCGGGAACGGCGGCGACGGGAGCCCGAGGGGACAGAAGCACCUGCACGUGCCCUCCAUCAUCGUCACACCUCCCACGCCCACGGGGACCACGCUGUCCCGCGAGGGCCGGCGCGGGGAGGGCCCCUCACCCUGCAGCCCGUGCUGAGAGGGGACACGGGGGGACACCCAGCCCGGCAGGAGCUGUCCCCUCUCCUCGGGAUGGAGCCC
rnacentral:lncRNA from 1 species